rnacentral:rRNA from 1 species
CGCGGUAAUUCCAGCUCCAAUAGCGUAUAUUAAAGUUGUUGCGGUUAAAAAGCUCGUAGUUGGAUCUCGGCGGGCAGGGGGUGGUUCGCUCUUCAGCGCUACUGCCCCGCUUUGCCCGUGUGAUUGGCGGAGGUUUCGGGGUGCUCUUCGUUGAGUGACUCGGAGCGCCGUCAGGUUUACUUUGAAAAAAUUAGAGUGCUCAAAGCAGGCUUUUCACGCUUGAAUAUUCGUGCAUGGAAUAAUGGAAUAGGAACUCGUUUCUAUUUUGUUGGUUUUCGGAAAUCGAGUUAAUGAUUAACAGGGACAAUUGGGGGCAUUAGUAUUCAGACGACAGAGGUGAAAUUCUUGGACCGUCUGAAGACUGACUACUGCGAAAGCAUUUGCCAAGAGUGUUUUCAUUAAUCAAGAACGAAAGUUAGAGGUUCGAAGGCGAUUAGAUACCGCCCUAGUUCUAACCAUAAACGAUGCCAGCUAGCGAUCUGCCUGCGUUUUUACUGUAGACUGGGCAGGAAGCUUCCGGGAAACCAAAGCAUUUGGGUUCCAGGGGAAGUAUGGUUGCAAAGCUGAAACUUAAAGGAAUUGACGGAAGGGCACCACCAGGAGUGGAGCCUGUGGCUUAAUUUGACUCAACACGGGAAAUCUCACCAGGCCCGGACACUGGAAGGAUUGACAGAUUGAUAGCUCUUUCUUGAUUCGGUGGGUGGUGGUGCAUGGGCCGUUCUUAGUUGGUGGAGUGAUUUGUCUGGUUAAUUCCGAUAACGAACGAGACUCUGUCCUGCUAAAUAGUUUCUACUUCUCUUUUGAGUAGAAAUUUCUUCUUAGAGGGACUGGUGACUCUUAGUCACACGAGAUUGAGCAAUAACAGGUCUGU